CUACGGGCCGCACCAGUGAGGAAUAUUGGUCAAUGGGCGCGAGCCUGAACCAGCCAUCCCGCGUGCAGGAUGACGGCCCUAUGGGUUGUAAACUGCUUUUCUAUGCCAAGAAACCUGAUUACGUGUAAUCAGUUGCCGGUAGCAUAGGAAUAAGCAUCGGCUAACUCCGUGCCAGCAGCCGCGGUAAUACGGAGGAUGCGAGCGUUAUCGGGAUUCAUUGGGUUUAAAGGGUGCGCAGGUGGGCUUGUAAGUCAGUGGUGAAAUGCUGCCGCUUAACGGUAGAACUGCCAUUGAUACUGCGAGUCUUGAGUAUGGUUGAGGUAGGCGGAAUGUGUUGUGUAGCGGUGAAAUGCAUAGAUAUGACACAGAACGCCAAUUGCGAAGGCAGCUUACUAAGCCAUUACUGACGCUGAGGCACGAAAGCGUGGGGAGCGAACAGGAUUAGAUACCCGUGUAGUC
rnacentral:rRNA from 1 species